CGCCGCUGCCGCCGCCGCCGCCGCCGCCGCCGCCGCGGAGCGCCCCGUCGCCGGCCGCCCGCCGCAGCCGCGUCGCGGAGCGAGGAGCGGCCGUCGGCGGGGGCGGGCGGCCCCGCGCGCUGGCAGGUGGGUCUCGGGCUGGCGCUGGGGUUAGGCCGCGCCGGGGGCUCGCACGUCCCGUCGCUCCGGUGCUGCCGAGCUGCCCCGGCGCGUCACGCGUGGUGUGCGGGUGCGCGCGCCGCCGCCCCGCGCGGAUUCCCGUCUGCUUCGUUUCUGCGUGGGGCGAGGCUGGGCCGCGCGUGCCCUGCGGUUCCCUCGCUCGGUACGUCCAGCCGGGCCGGUCGCUCCGGCCUCCAUCCGUGAAGCGAGGCGUGGACACCGCUGCUGCAGGGCUCGGUCCCGUUGAAACCCCCUCGCCGACCCCGCGUGCCCCCAAGGCCUGGCCCCGCGCCGCCGCCCCAACGCGCCCGGGCGGCCCGGGUCGACAGCCCGGUGGCUGCUGCUCCGAGCGGCGGCGUGGCCGCGUCCCCAUCCCACCGCUCGCCUCGGACCCUUGUCCCCCUGCGCUUUCUGCUGGUUCAACCGCUGUGGGACAACGCGGCGAAGCAGGACGCGGAAUUGAUGCAGGAGGAAAAUAGCGUUUAGGGACAGCUCAAGGGUUGGAGCAGCGGCUGGAGGGGCCAGGCAGGAACCGCCGAAAUUAGCGCCGCUGCUGAGAGGGACAUGCGUGGCUCUGCGCCUUCACACAGGUUGAGUAGGUCUCUUAGAAUUUCGUGAAGACCAUAUGGAUUCUUCUUAGCCCAAAAACAGAUGAAUAUUUUGGGCAAAAAAGAAACACACUUUGCCUUAUGUACACUGUCAACAGAUGCAGUAUUAAAUAUAUGCAGCAUUCUCACUCCACCUCUUCCCAAAAGUGGCUGGAAUGUACAAGCCCCAUCCUUAAUACCUGGAGGCAAGCCUGAAAUCUUCCAUACCAUAUGGCCUGGCCAAAGUGCCUGCAGUCAUGUAACGUUAGCCACAGGAAACUAUGGGAACACAAUUAAAACAAUAGAAGAAGCAGAAAACUCACCAAAGUAGGUCUCAAAAGACAACCAGUCAAUCACAGCAGACUUCUUAGCAACCAGCGUGGAGCAGCCAUGAGAUGUGACCUUACAUAUAUCACCUAUGGAAUUUCCACAAGCAGGAGAGUAGGCAUGCUAUUGCUCAAACCAUGGGCAAGACCUUUCCUGGAAUACUAAAUACAAUUCUAGUCACCAGUGUUCCAGCUGGGUUAAAUAACCUUUCUGCAAACAAGUAAAGAAAGGGUUAAUCAGAAUGAUCAGAAAUUAAGAGUCUGUCAUACAAGAAGAACUUGACUUAGUCUAGCAAAACGCAGCUGGGAAUGGAUGUGAUUGAUGUCUUUAAUUAUAAAGAGGCAUAAUCAUCAGUGAGGAAGGAAAAAAUAAGGUAAAGUGCAAAGAGACGUAAAUUGCUCAUGAAUAAGUUGAGGUUGGAAGUUAGAAGGUUUCCAUUAAGGAAAGAACUAUACAAUAGUUACCUGCAAAGACAAGGAACUGGACUUGACAACUCAACGUAAAAAUAACUCCAAUUUGUGUUUCACUUUUAUUAAACAACCAUCACAAUACUAAAGUAUUUCCUGAUUUUUUUUUUUUUAAUUCUACCAAAGCAUCCAGGGAUUUCUAUUCCUGGCAAGAAGAAUAAGCGCCUAUUUGAAAAUCACAUACCUCACAGUCAUGAUUUCAAUAGCACUUUUUGACAAAAAAAACCCAAAGCCCUGCUCACUACAUUUAAAACUCCUUAGUCAGGGAAAGCAGGAUGGAAUUCCCUAAGAAUCAUCAUAAGUGACAUGAAGUUAAUAGUUAACCAUGUCUGGCACUGGUGCUUGAAGUCACUGCAAGAUAGUUGAGCAGGAGUCUUGACAGCGGCCAAGUAGUCUCCUAAUUAAAGAAGUUCCACUACGCAGCCAUAUAUGAUAUAAUUUCUGUGAUUACCCAAGAUAAGUAUCUCAAGAGAAGAUUCAAAAGAAAGACGUGAGCACCCAGGAAAUCUCCAUCAAUGAAAACUCACAUUGGGUUUCGGAGAGGUACGUAUGGCCAAACAUCUAACUAACAUUAAACACUGCAACAAGGCACAAGCAAUAAAGCAAUUCCUAACCACACAGCUGGGAAAAAGUGGAGGUGGAGGGGGGAGGAUAAAACUAUUUAAUACAAGCUGCCACAAACCAAGAAAAAAAGCGAAGGAACUUUCCAACUUUAACACAUGGCACUAAUCUACAUGCUGCUUACCAUGACAUGCUGCAGAACUACAGUCUAGGCUCUAACAGAAACAGACCAUAUGAAAGAAAAAUUAGCAUAAAAUCAAAGAUGCAAGAUGUACCAAUUCCUUCCUAAAAAGAAACAAUCUAGUGACUUAGUUUGAGGGAAACAUUUCCAAAGCUCUCCCAGAGGAAUUCUACCUCCUCCCUACCAUAUGUAUUCAAGAACAACAUUAUCAUUAAACAAAUGGUUCCACAAUUGUCAGAACAGAUAUGCCUGACUUUCCAAUGAUCGGCACCUUUUGUUUGAAGAGUGCAAGUUCUGCUUUGGUUAUGUCUGCGCUACCUUUGUGAUCUGCACCAGGGAAUGAACCCCAUCCCAGAGCAAACUAUAGACUGUUUUUUCUCCGUAACAUAUCUGUAGGCCAGACCUGGAGAGAAGUAGCCUCCGUUCUGCACCAAGAGUUCCUCACCAAGGGAGCCACCUCUUUCGCUGGGACUGGGCACUCCAGACUGGAGCCAAAUCAAACUAGUGUAUGCAGCGUGGCCAGCUAUAUUUUGCUCUAGAGCUCAACAGCGAAAUAGGGAGAGAGCCAAUCUGACAAUACAGACACAUCACUGAAGCUUUUCCCUGGUUGAGCGUUUGAGAAGUUCCCUCGUGUGAGAAUUCUCCAGUACAGUGUGGUUUCUUCUUCCCUUUUCUUGACAUCUACUUUCACAAAAUUUUUAGAAAUGCAAUUAAUAUUUAAGACUUUUGCUCCUCUUUCAGAUUUGGUUGAAUCAGUCAAUGGAUCAAAAGUUAUUGGUGGAGAGGAAGAAAGGGAGGGAAAUGCACAAGUUUUAUCACAGAAGACUUAUUUCCACAGGAAACUAAUAAAACAUUGUACAUAAAUACACAGAUUAAACAUCUCCUAUGUUUCUUUUCCACUUGUACAGCAAUACAGAAAUUUAUUUUAUUUUUCUAUGGUCUUGAACAAGCCACUCUGCCUUAGAAAAAAAAUUCAGUCAGUCAGGAAAGGUACUUCUUUCCUUCCCCAGUCCCUAUGGAUCUUUUUUGUUUCGACUGCAAAAUAGAGACUUCCUUUUAUUAUGUGGCUUUUCAAAAUUUAAUAUAAUGCAGUCUUUAUCUUGGUUGCAGCUUCUAAAUACUACAGUGAUCCAAUCAUACCAUGGAAUUAAAAAAGUAAACCAUAAGCAAAUUGUCAUUUAAGUAAGAAGGAGCAAAAUACAGAUGCAGCCUUAACUCUAAUCUUUUCAAUCCACAGAUCACCACAAAUCACUGGUCUUUUAAUAAGACAAUCUCCAAAUACGAGUUUUACAUGAAGUAAGCAGGAGAUAAAAUCAUAUGUUCCUACAUAUAUAUACUUAAUAGAAUUACAGUUAAAGGCUUGGGAAAAGUUACAACAUUUAGAAGAGACCUAAAAUGGUGUCCCAGUCUUUACCUUAUGUUGAGAUCUGCCCAAAAUAUGUAUAAUUUUCGGGAUCUAAACAUGAGUGAUAACAAAACAAAACAGAAUUUUUCAAAUGUGGCUAUCAAUCAGGAAUGUCACAUGUCGUCACCAUGUACGAAUAACCGUGAUGUGUUUGUAUUUUGACUCCACUGUCAUGCACUGGGAAAAUACGAGUUUGUUGGAGCUGUGUGUGCACCCCCCCCAACAGUUUGUGAACUUCUGUUUUAAAUCGUGUAUACCUGACAAUAAGUGCACCAGAUGGCUUUAAAUUGGCUGCAAAAAUAUUACAAAAACCAGCUGUAUAAGCAUUCAGUAUCAUAACAAGAUUAGAAACAUAAGAUGUUUUUGUGACAAAACUAUUAUGAUUUUAGCAAGUUAGGAAGAGAUUCAUUAGUACUUCUCAGAAUCCCAUUUUACAAUGGAUUUACAACAAUAGUGGUUUUAUCUUUUGCAGCAGUUAUUAUUACAUAGCAGACAGUUUUAUGAACCCAGAUAUCUACAUUGGUAGCAACAGAACUGUAAAUCAAUCAAGACUUUCUUGGAUCAUCAGUAGCGGAGUUUGCAUAAGAAAAGCACCAGCAAACUAACUAGCUGUCUAUCACAGAAGUACAGAAAUUUCAAUCCUCUUCCAGGAUUUUCAGAAAUAUAAAAUUAAUUUAUAUGUUGACUUGUGUACAAAUCAUUUUUAUAGCCUAUUUUUACACUCCUGAUGAUUUUAACUUGUUGAUAAUGUAUUUAUAGUAAGUCUUUCUUUCCACAGUGGAUAAGCAAAGUUUCUAUUUAAUGCUAAAACUCCAUCUCAGGAAAAAAGGUAUCAAAGAAGUUUAGAUUGGAAGGUGAAAAAAACAGCUAAAUUGUCCUGCCUUGACCUGAUAGAACUGGUUCUGGAACUUCUCUCUCUCUCUUUUUUUUUUUUUUUUUUUUUUAAGUAGCAACCUAGUCUGCUAUGCAAUAAUUACAGUAGCUAAAUUCAUUAAACAAAAUGGAUAAUUAAAAAUAAAAAAUCCUACAUCUAUGUUUCUGCAAACAGACAUACACAGGAUUUCCAUUAGUACAACUCCACACCUAGAGAGCCAAAUGUAUAAUCCAGUGUGACCCAGUCUCCCUAUACAUGCUCAAUAGGCAGAAGUUCAAUUCCACUUGUGUCUUCUUCAUAAUUUCAGAAGGUAUUCCAGAUGCUAUGCAAGUGCUGUCAAAGAAGAAUUUGGCUAGAAAGCUGGAUUAAAUAGACACUUAUAGCAGAGAUCUAUUUUAAUGUCUUCUGAAAUAAAACACACGAAAAAAAAUCUAAAUUAAGCUUUUGGUUCCAUCUUAGCCAAAGAAGCCAGCACUUAAAAAAGAAACAGAAAAAUGGAGAACUGAAGAAGAAUUUCUUAGUGAGAAUACAGUUUUUCUUACAUAACACCACUCCUGUAUCCCAACAAAACAUGUUUCUCCAACAAGUGUUGCAGCUGCUUUACCCAAAACAAAACAAUGCUUGAAAUACUAUAGUAGCAUCAAAAACUCUAGUCAGAUGAAACAGCAAAUCUAAAGAAAGGUAUAUUGCACAGAUUUAUGUACAGAAAAUGCACAAUAAGAUACCUUAUUACAGUGCACUCUGAGAAGUUUAGAGAAAAAUGCUACCAAAAAUGGCCGUGAGCUAGAGAUGGAAAUCAGCAGUUAAUACACAUUUCAAACCCAAGGGAGCUACGCAAGCAGUGUGAAAAAAUAAAUUGCGAGUCCUUCUGUUGCAAUGUCUAAAAGCCUGUUCUGAGCAAUCAAACUCACGUAUUGGUUGUAGUCUCAGUGCAUUAACAUAGCACUGUACUACAGCUAAUCUAUUCUGUUUUUCAAGAGGAUAAGUAAUCUUAUCUACCGCAUUACCAUAGCUGGAGCAUUUCUGGUAUCGAAAACAGGUGGCACUAACUACCAGCGUACCUCUAGAUAGGACUGCAGUGUACAGUGCAGACCUGCACCUUCACUGGGCACUGAGUCUUACCAGUCGCCUGCAAGAAGCAAAGCGGUUUCAUUUCUUCUGCAGCUGUUUCAGCCACGAGUCUCAGAGAGUUCAGUUCAGGCCUGUUUUCCUCUACAAGGGAUCUCCCUUAAGAAUGGUCUCCACGUCCUGGCCUCCACCAAAAACUUCUGCGUUCAGCUUCAGUGAUACGGUACAACCCAUAUCAGACGUUGGUCUCAAACUCAGUUCUUAAAACACAGCGCUCGAGGUCCCUGGUCAACACUUCAUCAGAUGGACUUACGGCAGAGAAAGUUAAGAUUAGACCAGGUCAGAGGGAUGCAGUCAUUGCCGAGGCUCGUGAGUGGAUUUUUAACAAUACGGCUAUUUGGGAAGAUGGGUGACCUGAACGACAGGUCAAAGUAUACCUGAAAGGCUAAAAUUGCAUUUUCCCGUAUUGGCAGGUAGCCAGAAAAGAAGACAUGAAUUUCUUUAAAACAGUGGUAGCGUGAAAGUUUCUUGCUGCUUCUUAGCGUUAUUCAGCAUAUUUAGCAUUGGCGCAGCAAAUCAUUUACAUUUUACCUAUUAAAUAUUCAUGUGGUUGGUUUUAUUCGAAACAAUUUCUUGGCAAACAACAACAAUAAUAAUAUUUGUAAAGGCCGUAUUCAAAAUCUAAAGGAAGGCGCUUAAGAUCCGGUCAGCCGAGAAACGAACACGCUUGGAGUAGUUCCCUGCGUUUUUGAAAGGCGUGACAAAGCUCUUCAGAGCUCGUGUGAAUAACUAAAAACUACAAAACACAGGUCCCUACAGAUCUUCCCACAUUUCUCAUGAGGUAGGCAAAAAAGUAUAUUAAAGUUACAUUUGCCCUGCUGAGUACUGUGUAUGCUCGCUUUUCAUCCGUGGGCCGUUUGGUCCUCCACCCUCGCGUUUGCUCCCAGAGCGCUGCGGUGAAGGCGUCCCCCUUGCUGGGUUAUAACCAGUCUGGUCCUGUUACUGGUCGAUGGAGAUGCCGUCUUUUUUCCUGCCUGUAUCCCCCUUUCUCCUAGACGCCUGCAUUUCCUGCGUUGUUUCUCUUCUCUGUCACUUUUACCCUAAAACUACAGGAAGGCUUCUCACGUGUCCUGGGACCUGUUCUGUUCACAGACUCACCGACCACCAGCAGCCCCAAGUGCUCACCAAAGACCUACCAUGCUUUCUAAUGCGCCCUGCCUCACUUUCUCCUCCCCGCUUUGCCAUCUCCUCAUGAGAGGACAGGUCCCUGCCAGUCUUCGUGAGCCCCCCACUUCCCACACGCGCAUCCCCUCUCCCCUCAGGCUGCCAUAGUCCCUCCGGGGAAGGAAGACAUCUCCCCUCCGAGCCCUUCCUCCUCCCCUCCCGCCGGGCACCAGCUCCCUGCUGCCUCCGCCACGGGGGACGCGGCUCGUGUCGAGGCUCUGCGACGUCGUGGUGGUCCUUGCAGUGUGUCCUGCGCCCAGCUUGCGCAGGGAGCCGGCAUGUUGAAAUCACGGGGGAAAGCAGGCCUGUUCUUCCUGUACUUCUGGCUAAGGCUGGAAGUGGAGUGCCAGAAAACAAUUGUGACUCGUCUAUUGUGCGGAGAAGUAUCGUGGAGCUCCUCGUCUCAAAACAUGGACUUUGCAAGGAGCUUGGUCCUGAUAAGAGUCCCAUUCUGACCUAGACGAGUCGAAGAUAAUAAACGGUCUUCAGAUAAGCCUUGGCAAUACUUUACGCAAUCCAAAUGGGUCCCAGAGGCCUUAGCAUUUAUUUGGGUACAGUGAUCAACAUGCCUGACAACUAAAAGUGACCUAUAUAAAAAUAUGUUUGAUAUUUAAGCAGUUGCUAACAUGAAGCGGGAGGCUGUGUCAGACUUUUUGAGCCAUGGACUGCUGUCAUCCUUCAAAGGCCUCACAGGCCACCCUGCACUUUCGUCAUCCAAUGUUUUACUCAACAUUUUACAAAGGCAAAAUAAUCCCACAGACCAGACCGGAUGCGGUUGGGCCAUGGUUACAGUCUCACAGAUCCAAUGCUUUUUUAAAUUAAAUCCUCCCCCUAAUGAUAUAAAUUGGUCACCCUUUGAUGGAACGAUUUAAAAACUAUUGUUUGGCAAGUGUUCCCAAGGCAUUGUUUUGUUCUGGCAGACAAAGCAUAAAAACACAGUCCUAAUCAUACUCUGCAGUUAAUGCAAGAAAAUACCUAGUCAACAGGACAAGAUAAAAAUUGAGACUUUAUUAAAAAAAGCUGAUGUUGCCUAUGAAGGAUGCACACCUCUGAAAUGCAUAGGAGCAAAGAUUGCUGGCCAGCUUUCCAGGCUCAGAUUAAAGAAAUCUCUGUAGAUCUCUGUUUGAUGUAGCCAUCAAACAUUUUAACUGGCUAAAAACCUCCAGAUCUGUACGUGUAAGUGUUUUGUUUUCAUGUGACAUCUAGUACAUGCAAAAGUGGUAACACUGAUGAAAAAUAAGCCAUACAAUUUCAGGAAAAAAUUAACCAAAAAUCAUUAUAAAGAUAGUGCUGGGGUAUUUAGUAGUUCAACUGCAGGUACACACGUUUGAUACAAGAUUGUGGCCAGAACUGGCUGCUCUUUUUCAGAACUUCUCUUCACUGACAGUUAAAAAAAAUGCAGUCCCUUUACAAGACAGUGGGCAUCUGGGGAUUCCUCCGUCUCUGUUUAAUUUUGCUAAAUAAUAGAAAUAAUGUCAAUUAAAAGUCAAGUUCAGACCAGUUACUAAACACAAACUCCUCUUUUUCCUUAUGUGGAAGUGGAGUCUUACUCCCUGUGUGCUAAAUUUAAGCUGUUACAUUUUUCUUUUCGCUCAUAUUUACAUUCAAGGACCCUACUGGUAAUCUGGUAAUACAGUGCUACUUUUCCCUCCUGCACUAAGAACCUUCUUUUUCCUGGCAUUGCAGCUACUAGUGACUUCAGAGCACCAUUGAAAUUGUGGCCUCUGAUAUAGGAAAGACUACUGAAAUCGGAAGUCUUUAUACAUGGUGGGCUGAAAAAUCUAACAGAAGAUUAUCUGUCUGGGCAUAUUUUGAUUUUCAGUACUCUGUGGCAAGAGGUGUCUUUGUUUACAAGAAGAGUAGAGCCCUUUUUGCUGUGCCCUCAAGCAGCAUCAUAAUUAGCACAACUGCUACAACAACUAUCAAGUUUAUCAGUGGCAUAAACAGUGACAUUUUAUUGAAUUGUGUGUUGGCAUCACAGCACAGUUGGGCAUUUCUAAAUAGUUCUAAAGCUAUCCUGAACCAGUGUGGCAAAUGGUAUGUCAUGGUCAUAUAAACAAACACAAAUAUGGAGUUAGAGGUUAUAUGUAAACAGAGUGAGUUACGGUGGUGAAAAGACCUAACAGUAGUCUUGCUACAGAGAAACACAACAUUUCAUAGCAGUACAGUAUGAAUUCCUUGAAAUGGAGAGAUGAGUCUAUAUUGAUGGGAUUAGAAAUAAUCUUAUUCAUAGAGCUUAAGGCACUGAGUCGUAGACACGUGUCUUCUGGGUUUGUAGAGGGAAAAGCACUAAGCAUCUCUAGGUCCUGAAAGUGCUCUUAUGUGAGAGAUUCCUCCUCAGGUAGUUCAGGGCUGGUAAGGGUAAUCCCUCCUACUGUCUCCUGCUCCACGACCUCCGCAGUGGGUACGGCACGCGGCAGGACCUCCCUCUUGCUUGCCCUGUCUUGCUCUUAGCCUGCCUGCCUCACCUUUGAGAUCACUGCUUCAGGUAGCUUGCUGGGCUGCCUCCUAAUCUGCGUCUCCUACUGCUCUCCAGCCUUUGGAAAGGCUUCAGAAGAAUCAUAUAACUAUAACUGUUCCAUCAAAACUGAACCAAUUUAUGAAAGAUGGUUGAACUCACAAGUGUUUUAUUUCAAAAGGGAACAUGGGUAAAAAGUUCCAUCAAUAUCAAAACAUCAUGUGGUAAUAUUUAAGGAACAGCGAUGAUGUCGCAUCAUUUUAUUUUCCUUUUCUCUUCUCCUUCUCUCAAAACGGAUCUACCCUGGGAUUAAACGAUCAGCAAAAGAAAUGUUAUUGCCAUAACUUGCUUCUCUUGCUUAAGGAGCACAGAUAGACUGACUGCAGCACAAAAAAGAAAUGGUCGAAGUGGCCAAAUGUAAAAGACAGUACACAGGUGAUUUUGACUGACUCAUUUGUACCUGUGUCCUGCUUUAGCAUGAAUGGCCACAUGUCAAUGAGACAGAAGUUUUCCUUUCUUUUCUACCCAUCCACUUCCCUAAUCUGUUUACCUAAGCAGCAGGAGUCACCGUAACAAUUGUUAGUAAGAUAAAAUACAGAAUCUGAUAUAUCUUCUUUUCCCUCGGGAAAGACUUCUGGUAAUUUUUUAACAAAUGUUUUAUUCUCUCCAGGAUCCUCUGAAUGUAAAUAUAGAAGGAGGAAUUUCUCCAAAUCAUUACAAUUUAAAUGCUGAAUCCCAAAUCUAUUUAUUUCUAUUGCUUUUUUGUUGGUGCAUAUUGAAUACAUGCUUUAAGAGAUUUCUUUUUUGUGGUUGCUAUGGUAAAAAGCAGGCCCUAGUCCAUUUACUUAAAACCCAUGAACUGCAAUUAACUGUUUAAUGUUGUAACAUACAACAGCUCUAGUAACACCUUAACAGCUUUGAGCAUGAUACUCCAUCAUCUCAACAGAUGGUGAUUUUUGGCAUUCUGUGUUUUCAGUUUAUUCUUCUCCUUUAUAAUCCUUGCCAUUAUAUCUUUUGAAAAAGGCUCCUGGGCUAACUUAAUUGCAAUUUGAUUAUGCUGAGGCAUUCCUUGGAUCUUUUUGAAUUUCCAUUAAAGAUGGCCAAUGAAUGGAAAAAAAAAUGCUGUAUAUGUAUCCCUGGCAAGGAUUAUAAGAGCAGAUUUUAAAGUACUUUAAGAAUAUGUUUCUUCUUGUCUGUAACCAUAAAUGUACAGUCUCAAAAUACCCUCUGUGUACUGUGGGAGCCUUACACCUCAAUAGAGAAGGAGACAUAAUUGAUUUUUUCAUGAAGAAAGAUCCACCCUGAAUGUUUGUUGAGAGUCUGAAUUAAAUAAGAGUUACCAAAUUCAACUUGUUCUUCAGAAGGGAGUUGCCCGUUAUUGUUAUUCCUACAGAGUUGAAGACUGAAUUCCCCAUGAAUUUUGCUCAUUGUUUUGAAGAUUUAUGACUCAUAUAAAUCUGUUUUAACAUGGAAUUUUAACCAUAAUUAGAAAAAAGUUGCCUUUGUCCACAUAUUAUCAAGAGUGAGAUGGUCUUGUGAAAUUGUUUUUCAGUUGGUCUCUUUCUCCCAUAUAAUAUAUUUGCGUUCCAUUUUAAAUAUUUUUUGGAGUUAGAAGUGGACUCUUUGGAUUCAAAAUCAGAACUGUUUUUCAUUUUGCUCCUCCAAGGGAUCUCAUGUAUUAUGCAACUAAGACACUUCAGGUGUAGAUGGAUGUUCAGCAUUGUACCAAAUAAACUCUUUUUUUCGUACCAUCA